rnacentral:rRNA from 1 species
GACGAACGCUGGCGGCGUGCUUAACACAUGCAAGUCGAACGGAAAGGCCUCUUUCGGGGGGUACUCGAGUGGCGAACGGGUGAGUAACACGUGAGUAACCUGCCCUUGACUUUGGGAUAACUUCAGGAAACUGGGGCUAAUACCGGAUAGGAGCUCCUGCUGCAUGGUGGGGGUUGGAGAGUUUCGGCGGUUGGGGAUGGACUCGCGGCUUAUCAGCUUGUUGGUGGGGUAGUGGCUUACCAAGGCUUUGACGGGUAGCCGGCCUGGGAGGGUGACCGGCCACAUUGGGACUGAGAUACGGCCCAGACUCCUACGGGAGGCAGCAGGGGGGAAUAUUGCACAAUGGGUGGAAGCCUGAUGCAGCAACGCCGUGGGCGGGAUGACGGCCUUCGGGUUGUAAACCGCUUUCGCUCAUGACGAAGCUUUGUGUGACGGUAGUGGGUAAAGAAGCACCGGCUAACUACGUG